UACGGAGGAUCCAAGCGUUAUCCGGAAUCAUUGGGUUUAAAGGGUCCGUAGGCGGUUUUAUAAGUCAGUGGUGAGAUCUGGUCGCUCAACGAUCAAACGGCCAUUGAUACUGUAGAACUUGAAUUACUUGGAAGUAACUAGAAUAUGUAGUGUAGCGGUGAAAUGCUUAGAGAUUACAUGGAAUACCAAUUGCGAAGGCAGGUUACUACAAGUACAUUGACGCUGAUGGACGAAAGCGUGGGGAGCGAACAGG
rnacentral:rRNA from 1 species